AAACUGCCACACCUCACGAGCGAGAAAAUGGCAGAGUUCAACCCAUCAACUGGAGGCAAGAAAAUUGAAAACAUGGGGACAAAUUGUGUCUGGCGAAGAGAAUGAUUUCCAAUCAACCCCUUUGUGACAACUGACCACAGAAUUUCGUUUUCCAUCUUACCUGAAUUCACCUGAAGUGCCCGUCCCCAAUGCUGACGAAGCCAUACAAGGGGCGUCCUGUGUGCAUGCUGGGGCACACGGACUCUUUCGGUACCUCUCCUCCUGCGCUGUAUCCACACAUCUAAGCCACCACCAGUGGAGCCUGGAAGCCCAGGAAACAGAAUCUUCAUCUUGGCUUCUUCAUCAUGGCCUAGUUUAUCAACGUUCCUCCUCAGACAAGGUGACCAGAAUUGCUGAGACUCUUUAGAUGUGCUCUGAAAUGCCCUCAUCGUACAAAAUGAAUAACAG